rnacentral:rRNA from 1 species
GUGGGGAAUAUUGCACAAUGGAGGAAACUCUGAUGCAGCAACGCCGCGUGAGUGAUGAAGGUCUUCGGAUUGUAAAGCUCUGUCUUCUGGGACGAUAAUGACGGUACCAGAGGAGGAAGCCACGGCUAACUACGUGCCAGCAGCCGCGGUAAUACGUAGGUGGCAAGCGUUGUCCGGAUUUACUGGGCGUAAAGGAUGUGUAGGCGGAUAUUUAAGUGAGAUGUGAAAUCCCCGGGCUUAACUUGGGGGCUGCAUUUCAAACUGGAUAUCUAGAGUGCAGGAGAGGAAAGCAGAAUUCCUAGUGUAGCGGUGAAAUGCGUAGAGAUUAGGAAGAAUACCAGUGGCGAAGGCGGCUUUCUGGACUGUAACUGACGCUGAGGCAUGAAAGCGUGGGGAGCAAACAGGAUUAGAUACCCCGGUAGUCC